UUGGAGGGCAAGUCUGGUGCCAGCAGCCGCGGUAAUUCCAGCUCCAAUAGCGUAUAUUAAAGUUGUUGCAGUUAAAAAGCUCGUAGUUGAAUUUCGGGAUUGACGUGAUGGUCGUGCCUUACGGGGUAUGAACUGUUGCUGUUGAUUUCUCACCUUCUGGAGAAACUUGAUGUCCUUAAUUGGGUGUCUUGCGGAUCCAGGACCUUUACCUUGAAAAAAUUAGAGUGUUUAAAGCAGGCAUUUUUGCUCGAAUACAUUAGCAUGGAAUAAUAGAAUAGGACGGCAUGGUUCUAUUUUGUUGGUUUCUAGGAUCGCCGUAAUGAUUAAUAGGGAUAGUUGGGGGCAUUAGUAUUCAAUUGUCAGAGGUGAAAUUCUUGGAUUUAUUGAAGACUAACUACUGCGAAAGCAUUUGCCAAGGAUGUUUUCAUUAAUCAAGAACGAAAGUUAGGGGAUCGAAGACGAUCAGAUACCGUCGUAGUCUUAACCAUAAACUAUGCCGACUAGGAAUCAGACGAUGUUAAUUUUUUAAUGACUCGUUUGGCACCUUACGGGAAACCAAAGUGUUUGGGUUC
rnacentral:rRNA from 1 species